AAAUACUUCCUCAGACCUGGUGUCAACCAUCGGACUCCAGCAGGCUGCAGCCUGAAAGGAGGAGGGGGGUCAGAGCAGCACGUUCUCUUUCAGCAUGCAAACAUGGACAUGACAUCACUCUAGAAAAAGCAGCUCUGAUCCUCAUCACACUGAAGUGCUUUGCUGCUCCUCUGCAACACAACUGUC